GACGUAGGGGGCCAGCGUUGUUCGGAAUUACUGGGUGUAAAGGGUUCGUAGGCGGUGUAGCAAGUCGGGAGUGAAAUCUCUGGGCUUAACCCAGAGGCUGCUUCCGAAACUGCUGUGCUUGAGUGUGGGAGAGGCGCGUGGAAUUGCAGGUGUAGCGGUGAAAUGCGUAGAUAUCUGGAGGAACACCGGUGGCGAAGGCGGCAUCCUGGACCGACACUGACACUGAGGAGCGAAAGCCAGGGGAGCAAACGGG
rnacentral:rRNA from 1 species